rnacentral:rRNA from 1 species
CCAGACUCCUACGGGAGGCAGCAGUGAGGACUCUUGGUCAAUGGGCGCGCGCCUGAACCCGCCCCGUCGCGUGCCGGCUGACGGCCCUACGGGUUGUAAACUUCUUUUGUCAGGGAGCCAUUGGGUCCCUGCGUGGGCUUAGCGCGAGUACCUGAAGAAAAAGCAUCGGCUACCUCCGUGCCAGCAGCCGCGGUAAUACGGAGGAUGCGAGCGUUAUCCGGAUUUAUUGGGUUUAAAGGGUGCGUAGGCGGAAUAUCAAUGCAGCGGUAAAAAUUCGGGGCUCAACCCCGUCGUGCCGUUGAAACUGAUGUUCUUGAGUGGGCGAGAAGUAUGCGGAAUGCGUGGUGUAGCGGUGAAAUGCAGAGAUAUCACGCAGAACUCCGAUUGCGAAGGCAGCAUACCGGCGCCCAACUGACGCUGAAGCACGAAAGCGUGGGUAUCGAACAGGAUUAGAUACCCUCGUAAU